UCUCUCUCUCUCUCUCUCUCUUCUCCUCUCCAAUUAAUUACCAAACCACUUCCUUCUCUUCCUCUCAUGCAAGAUCACAUUCCAAGCUCUUUUGGGAUUCUGCACUAUCUUAUGCCUGCCAUUAAUUAUGGACUCAAUACAUCUGAGCAUAUAUAAAAAUUGGUAUUAUAUAUAUAUAUCCCUGUCAGGAUCUUUGAGAAAACUAUCCUGAUUGAUGAGGAGCAC
rnacentral:misc_RNA from 1 species